UAAUACGUAGGUGGCAAGCGUUGUCCGGAUUCACUGGGUGUAAAGGGUGCGCAGGCGGAUUUGUAAGUCAGAGGUGAAAUCUCACGGCUUAACCGUGAAACUGCCUUUGAUACUGCGGAUCUUGAGUUAGAGAGAGGUUGAUGGAAUUCCAGGUGUAGCGGUGAAAUGCGUAGAUAUCUGGAAGAACACCAGUGGCGAAGGCGGUCAACUGGCUCUUAACUGACGCUCAUGCACGAAAGCGUGGGUAGCGAACAGGAUUAGAUACCCUGGUAGUCCACGCCCUAAACGAUGAAUGCUUGGUGUUGGUCCGUCAGGAUCAGUGCCGUAGGUAACCUGGUAAGCAUUCCACCUGGGGAGUACGCUCGCAAGGGUG
rnacentral:rRNA from 1 species